rnacentral:rRNA from 1 species
GAAUAUUGCACAAUGGGCGCAAGCCUGAUGCAGCAACGCCGCGUGCGCGAUGAAGGCCUUCGGGUCGUAAAGCGCUUUUCGGGGAGAUGAGGAAGGACAGUAUCCCCGGAAUAAGUCUCGGCUAACUACGUGCCAGCAGCCGCGGUAAAACGUAGGAGGCAAGCGUUAUCCGAAUUUACUGGGCGUAAAGGGUGUGCAGGCGGUUCGAUAAGUUGGGUGUGAAAUCUCCCGGCUCAACUGGGAGAGGACGCUCAAGACUGUCGGACUGGAGGGCGGUAGAGGGAGGUGGAAUUCCCGGUGUAGUAGUGAAAUGCGUAGAUAUCGGGAGGAACACCAGUGGCGAAAGCGGCCUCCUGGACCGUACCUGACGCUGAGACACGAAAGCUAGGGGAGCGAA